rnacentral:tRNA from 1 species
GGGGGGAUAGGUUAGUGGUAGAGUGUGUGCUUGGUGUGCGCAAAGUCCUGGGUUCAAUCCCCAGUACCUCCA